rnacentral:rRNA from 1 species
AUCCAGACUCCUACGGGAGGCAGCAGUGAGGAAUAUUGGUCAAUGGGCGCGAGCCUGAACCAGCCAAGUCGCGUGAGGGAUGACGGCCCUACGGGUUGUAAACCUCUUUUGCCGGGGAGCAACGGGCGCCACGUGUGGCGCCACUGAGAGUACCCGGAGAAAAAGCAUCGGCUAACUCCGUGCCAGCAGCCGCGGUAAUACGGAGGAUGCGAGCGUUAUCCGGAUUUAUUGGGUUUAAAGGGUGCGUAGGGGGUCCGUUAAGUCAGGGGAAAAUUUGGGGGGCUCACCCCCGUCGAGCCGUUGAAACUGGCAGACUUGAGUUGGCGAGAAGUACGCGGAAUGCGCGGUGUAGCGGUGAAAUGCAUAGAUAUCGCGCAGAACUCCGAUUGCGA